rnacentral:tRNA from 2 species
GUCGGGAUAGCCAAGCCUGGUAAGGCGGACGCCUCGAAAGCGUCUGUGCAUCCGCACGCGGGGGUUCGAAUCCCUCUCCCGGCGCCA